GACGAACGCUGGCGGCGUGCUUGACACAUGCAAGUCGAACGAUGAAGCACCAGCUUGCUGGUGUGGAUUAGUGGCGAACGGGUGAGUAACACGUGAGUAACCUGCCCCUCACUCUGGGAUAAGCCUGGGAAACUGGGUCUAAUACUGGAUACGACCGAUCUCCGCAUGGAGUGUUGGUGGAAAGUUUUUGUGGUGGGGGAUGGACUCGCGGCCUAUCAGCUUGUUGGUGGGGUAAUGGCCUACCAAGGCGACGACGGGUAGCCGGCCUGAGAGGGCGACCGGCCACACUGGGACUGAGACACGGCCCAGACUCCUACGGGAGGCAGCAGUGGGGAAUAUUGCACAAUGGGCGAAAGCCUGAUGCAGCGACGCCGCGUGAGGGAUGACGGCCUUCGGGUUGUAAACCUCUUUCACCAGGGACGAAGCUAACGUGACGGUACCUGGAGAAGAAGCACCGGCUAACUACGUGCCAGCAGCCGCGGUAAUACGUAGGGUGCGAGCGUUGUCCGGAAUUAUUGGGCGUAAAGAGCUUGUAGGCGGUUUGUCGCGUCUGCUGUGAAAGACCGGGGCUUAACUCCGGUUCUGCAGUGGGUACGGGCAGACUAGAGUGUGGUAGGGGAGACUGGAAUUCCUGGUGUAGCGGUGAACUGCGCAGAUAUCAGGAGGAACACCGAUGGCGAAGGCAGGUCUCUGGGCCAUUACUGACGCUGAGAAGCGAAAGCAUGGGGAGCGAACAGG
rnacentral:rRNA from 1 species